CAUCAUCGUCGUCCUCAUCAUCAUCAGAAGAAGAUAAAGUCUCGUAAGAAUCAGGUAUGGACAAACACAGAAAUUCCCAUAGACAGCGAACGAGAUGAUCAUACGGGAAGCAAUAAGCCAUCUCAAGAAGCUGUCGAGUAUUCAACAUCUCCGACGAGGGAACCCUACUCAACUGCUGCCACGUGUUGGUGGAAACAUCAGCCACCGCCACUAUCGCCGCGCUGCUGAACACCAUAGCCAACAAAAGAAUCUCCUCUUUCUUUAUUCAAUUUGCUUACGAACUCAACUCUCGGUGUCGGUGGUAGUGGUUUUGACUUUUGGUGCUCGACUUUGUUUUGAUAUUGCAGUUUUAUGAUAUUGAUUACUUUUAUAUUUCCUCAAUUAUGGAGAGUUAAGCCGUUGAGUGGUCUUUUACAAAAAAGAAUAGGAAUAGCAAAAAGAAAAAAAUAUACACACUUGUUCCUAAAGAUAUGGUCCUAAAUUACAAUAUUUAGCUACUUAAUUUAUAUAAACUGUCCAAAUUAAAUACUAGGAGAUAUUGGUUCGACACUAGUUGUAAAAAUUUUAAUUUAGAAUUUAAUCUGUACAAUUUUUUUUGAUGUAGCUGUAGAAAUUAAACGAGAAGAAAAGAAAAAAAAUUAUUCUUACAACAAUAUUUUGUUGCUUUAAAAAAAGUUUUUAAGGUCAUUUUUUUCUUCAAAAAAUUGGCUUUAACUUCAAAAACUAUAUAAACAUGAUUGCUAAAACAGUAAAACCUAACCAAUCACCCUCAUUGUUGUAAUGAAACAUAACCAUAAACUUUCUAAUAUAUAAGUGAAAUAUUUGACUAUCUCGUAAAAAAAAUAUUUGACUACAAAAUAUGUAAUAUAUUUGGUAUGAAAAAGAGUAUUUGUAGUUUUUUUUUCACAAGUGAAAAUAAGAUUUAAAUCUAUAAAUAAAACUGAUACUUAUAUACAGUAGAACCUCUAUAAAUUAAUACUCGAUAAAUUAAUAAUCUCUAUAAAUUAAUAAAUUUUUUCAGUCCCAACUUGGGCCAGUGUAAAAUAUGACACAAAUCGAUAAAAUAAUAACAUAAUAAUAUUUUUAAAACUUCCAUGUAAAUAUAUAGUCCCA
rnacentral:lncRNA from 1 species